UGGGGAAUAUUGGACAAUGGGGGCAACCCUGAUCCAGCAAUGCCGCGUGAGUGAUGAAGGCCUUAGGGUUGUAAAGCUCUUUCGCCCGCGACGAUGAUGACGGUAGCGGGAGAAGAAGCCCCGGCUAACUUCGUGCCAGCAGCCGCGGUAAUACGAAGGGGGCGAGCGUUGUUCGGAAUUACUGGGCGUAAAGGGCGCGCAGGCGGCCUUAGAAGUCAGGCGUGAAAGCCCCGGGCUCAACCUGGGAAUUGCGCUUGAUACUCUUGGGCUUGAGUACGGGAGAGGAGAGUGGAAUUCCCAGUGUAGAGGUGAAAUUCGUAGAUAUUGGGAAGAACACCGGUGGCGAAGGCGGCUCUCUGGACCGUAACUGACGCUGAGGCGCGAAAGCGUGGGGAGCAAACAGGAUUAGAUACCCCCGUAGUCC
rnacentral:rRNA from 1 species